rnacentral:rRNA from 1 species
GCUGGCGGCAGGCUUACACAUGCAAGUCGAGCGCUCGUAGCAAUACGAGAGCGGCAGACGGGAGAGUAACACGUGGGAACGUACCCUUCGGUUCGGAAUAACCCAGGGAAACUUGGGCUAAUACCGGAUACGUCCGUAAGGAGAAAGAUUUAUCGCCGAAGGAUCGGCCCGCGUCCGAUUAGCUAGUUGGUGAGGUAAUGGCUCACCAAGGCGACGAUCGGUAGCUGGUCUGAGAGGAUGAUCAGCCUCACUGGGACUGAGACACGGCCCAGACUCCUACGGGAGGCAGCAGUGGGGAAUAUUGGACAAUGGGCGCAAGCCUGAUCCAGCCAUGCCGCGUGGGUGAUGACGGCCUUAGGGUUGUAAAGCCCUUUCGGCGGGGAAGAUAAUGACGGUACCCGCAGAAGAAGCCCCGGCUAACUUCGUGCCAGCAGCCGCGGUAAUACGAAGGGGGCUAGCGUUGCUCGGAAUCACUGGGCGUAAAGCGCACGUAGGCGGGUUCUUAAGUCAGGGGUGAAAUCCUGGAGCUCAACUCCAGAACUGCCUUUGAUACUGAGGAC